GCGGAGAAAUUCCAAUCGAACUCGGAGAUAGCUGGUUCUCCCCGAAAUAGCUUUAGGGCUAGCCUCGAUUUAGAUUAUUGGGGGUAGAGCACUGAAUGGGCUAGGGGGCCACAAAGCUUACUGAACCCUAUCAAACUGCGAAUACCAAUUAAUUGAUGAUCGGGAGUCAGACAGUGAGAGAUAAGUUCCAUUGUCGAAAGGGAAACAGCCCAGAUCCACGACUAAGGUCCCAAAAUACACGUUAAGUGGAAAAGGAUGUGCAGUUGCACAGACAACCAGGAUGUUGGCUUAGAAGCAGCCACUCAUUCAAAGAGUGCGUAAUAGCUCACUGGUCGAGUGAAUGUGCGCCGAAAAUAUACCGGGGCUAAACGUGAUACCGAAGUCUGGGGAUCAAGAAAUUGAUCGGUAGGGGAGCAACGCAUACGGACAGAAGCAGAAGCGGGAGCGACUGUGGACUGUAUGGGAGAGAGAAUGCCGGCAUGAGUAGCGAGAGCAAAGUGAGAAUCUUUGCCGUCGAAAGCCUAAGGUUUCCUGAGGAAGGCUCGUCCUCUCAGGGUAAGUCGGGACCUAAGCCGAGGACAAGAGUCGUAGGCGAUGGAUAACAGGUUGAUAUUCCUGUACCGUACUUAAGCGUUUGACUGAAGCAGUGACACAGAAGGAUAGACAGACCGAGUGAAUGGAAGAACUCGGCCAAGCAGUGAGGCUGACAUGUAGUGAAGUACGCAUGUUAAGGCUGGGCUGUGAUGGGGACUGAAGAUUAGUAAGGAAGCUGUUGAAUUCACACUGGCGAGAAAAGCUGCUAAGGAGCGAGAGUAUGCCCGUACCGCAAACCGACACAGGUAGGCGAGGAGAGAAUCCUAAGACGAGCGGGAGAACCCUUGUUAAGGAACUCGGCAAAAUGACUCCGUAACUUAGGGAGAAGGAGUGCCUCGAGAGAGGCCGCAGAGAAUAGGCCCAAGCGACUGUUUACCAAAAACACAGGUCUGUGCGAAGUAGAGAUACGACGUAUACGGGCUGACGCCUGCCCAGUGCCGGAAGGUUAAGGGGAAGUGUUAGGGCAACCGAAGCACGGAACUUAAGCCCCGGUGAACGGCGGCCGUAACUAUAACGGUCCUAAGGUAGCGAAAUUCCUUGUCGGGUAAGUUCCGACCCGCACGAAUGGCGUAACGACUUGGGCACUGUCUCAACAAGGGACCCGGCGAAAUUGUAGUAUGUGUGAAGAUGCACAUUACCCGCGAUAGGACGGAAAGACCCCGUAGAGCUUUACUGUAGUUUAACAUUGGAUU
rnacentral:rRNA from 1 species